rnacentral:tRNA from 1 species
UUUUGCAUNCAUUAUAAUUUUUAGGGGCCGUAGCUCAGCUGGGAGAGCACNUGCUUUGCAAGCAGGGGGUCGUCGGUUCGAUCCCGUCNGGCUCCACCACUUGGAUUAUCAUCAUUGUUGUGAGAACAUUGUUUUGUAGGAAGUUUAUGAACUUCUUGCUUGUUCUAUUGAAAUUGUGAAGAGAAGAUAUAUUCAGACAUGGUUUUUAUACUCUAUCUUUUAAAGAUUAAGAGUUAUGAGAAAUGAUGUGUCGCAAGAGAAUGCUCAAAGCUCUUGCAUAUGAUUGGAAGCUUAACCGCGCCAUUGAAUAUAUCUCGAGAAGCUGGUCUUUUCUGCUGAUAUUUAUGUUUGUUGUGCACUUUGUUUUGCACAAGACAAAGAGGAGCAGACAAACAGAGAAUGAUUACAAACAAAAUGCUUAACAAGUAAAUCAUCCCACGGUAAGUCAUGACAAAAGUCAAUGAUGAUUGGCGGUGAAUAGUUAUUUGUAGCAGGUGAUUGUUGUAAGUGAUUAUUGAAUGA